rnacentral:rRNA from 1 species
UACGUAGGGGGCAAGCGUUGUCCGGAUUUAUUGGGCGUAAAGAGCGUGUAGGCGGCUGGGUAGGUCCGUUGUGAAAACUCGAGGCUCAACCUCGAGACGCCGAUGGAAACCCUCCAGCUAGAGUCCGGAAGAGGAGAGUGGAAUUCCUGGUGUAGCGGUGAAAUGCGCAGAUAUUAGGAAGAACACCCGUGGCUAAGGCGGCUCUCUAGUAAGGUACUGACGCUGAGACGCGAAAGCGUGGGGAGCAAACAGG